UCUCCGUUGGUGAACCAGCGGAGGGAGCAUUACCGAGCCUACAACUCCCAAACCCCUAUGUGAACGUUACCAAACUGUUGCCUCGGCGGGAAAUUCAUGCCCCGGGCGCGUCGCAGGCCCGGACCAAGGCGCCCGCCGGAGGACAAACCAAAACUCUUUUGUAUGUCCCUCGCGGACUUUUAUAAUUCUGAACCAUCUCGGCGCCCCUAGCGGGCGUUUCCAAAAUGAAUCAAAACUUUCAACAACGGAUCUCUUGGUUCUG
rnacentral:misc_RNA from 1 species